CCCAGACCUGAUUAAAUGUAAUUAAAAUGUUUAAAUUAUGCUACUUAAAUUCAGAAACAAGAGGGAAUUCAGUACUGAAGAGCUGAGUGGAAUUUGAAAUUCUUGUGUCCCAAGCGGUUAUCAGAACCAGAAAUACACCUUAGAGGCCAAAGUUAUAUGUCUAUAAGUGGGGAUGAAAUAUUAGUGUGGCCUUGAACUUGUAGGGCUGCUGUGAAAAGUUAGAUGAGAGGUUUUGAGAAUUAGUAUAAGAGAGUGUCUGGCUUUUAUUCUGGGAGACCAGUAUGUGGGCUGAAACUUGCCCUGUUCCAUGAGAGUAAUGUGAGAAUUUGGAAUCCAGGCCUGCAUUGUGCAUGGGGGUAGAUGUGAAUUCUUACAACCAGAGAUAAGAAACUACCUUAAAAAUAGGCAAAACUUACAAGACUCAAGCUGAGAAAAAUACUAGACUGAUUUAUGGGGAGACUUCCUCAUCAGGAUAUAUGUGUGGACUACCUGUUCAAAGAGAUUAAGAAAGGAAUCAAGCCUAUAGUACAAAACAAACAUUUUGAAGAAUUAACAGACAUAAAGGAGAGAGAGGAAGUGGAAAUAUUGUGCAAAAAAACAGAUAAAAGACAUUAGUAAAAAUUAAUGUAUUUAACAGAUAUUUAGAAAGUAAAAUUGAGAAGACUCACUGAUCAGUUGUCUACGGAGUUGAGGUAGAAAAAGAUGUCAUGGGUGAUAGUAAAAAUGCAUCAUUUGCUAGGGUAGGAGACACUCAAAGAACAUCAAGCUUAGUUGUUCAGUUUUGAACUGAUUGAGUGUGCGAUGACUUUGAGACAUGCGAAGGGAGCUGUCAGUACAGUUGGGCUUAAAACUUUAGAUCUGAAAGGUCUCUAGACCUAAGGUUCACAAAACACUGGGGAACCAUGCCCUAGAGAAUCACAUUCACACUGAUGGGUAGAGAUCUAAUAAGGAGCUAUGUCAUUAUAAAACUAAAAUACCUGAAACUUUUAUGUAGGAAAAAAUAUACAAAGAAGUUCAGAAGAGGGAGAGGUCACUUCUGGCUGGUGCAAUCAGCAAAGACUUCAUGAGAGAGGUCUCUUGGGGCCUGCUUCUUCAGGUUGAAACCUUUUACUCCCUUCAGGUCCUCUUGAUAUGGCCUGAAGGGGUCACACUCAAGACCUACAUCACUGGGGUCAGCGUAGCGCCCUUUUCUACCUGGACUAUCCACGUCAGCCUCGUCCCAAAUUUAAGGCUCUUCCUUAAUGUCUGUUCUUGUCCACAUCCCACAUCUUCCUGCUGCUUGUCUAGCCCAGGAGGCAAUUUUAUCUGUGCUUUCAUCAUACUCCCCACAGAGCAUGCCCUCAGUAUGAGGUGAACAGCCUGACAUAGGUCCUUGAGGGGCAGACUGAGAAGAGACGGAUGAGAUUUGGCGCAUGGGAAGGGCCCUUCCAAGCUAGUCGUGACACGACUGGACCAAGUGGUCUCAGGACGCAGUGCUCACAUAUCAGUAAAGGAGGGGACAGAAGUCCACACCAACCCUCUCAGAGCUUCAGCUCCCUCUACUAUGUAUCCACAGGAUUCUGAGUAUAUUAGAAUCUCUAAUGUCUUGAGGAAAAGAAAUCCAAGUCAGCCUGUCCCAGUUCCAUGUGUUGACAUUCCAGGUGAGGCAUUCUGUCUGCUGAGGAGCUCCUUCCAGUGUGCAGAGGAAGGUACAAGUUCUCUUGCAGCCAUGAAUGACUCUGAGUCAUGAGAAGUGGCUGCCCUUCUCAAGGCACUUGUGUGCCCUCCUACUCAUACAAAUCGGACCAGGGCCCUCCAAGUGAAAGCUCUUCCUGCCCCCACUGCUCCCCUGCCCUUGGCCCAACAUGGCAGAUGUGGGAAAGCAGCAGGCUUGAAGCAGAGGAGGUUCUGGCUGUGGUAGGCAGUGUCACAGCAACCCCAGUCAGUGAUCACAGAGUCACCUGGGUUAGAAGUCUAGGUCUCACUGUUGAGGACAGAAGUAGGAAGGUGAAGUUGUCCCUAAACGCCAAGGAUGAGGCAUAGGGGUGGAAGCAGAGGCUCCUGGGCAGCUGCUCCAGAGCGCUUCACUAUAAUGGGGAGAAAAACCAAUCCCUUGGACACACUCACUGGCAAUUCCCUAAGAAGUCAUUGCUAUAGCCAUUCCCAGAUAGCUGAGAAACCACCAUCCACACAUGGCCACUUCCCAGGCUGUGGCACAGCCAGGAGGCUAAGCAGGCCCACUCGUGCGUCUGCCACCAUAGACCCUGGUUUUGUCCCACCUCUCAGCAAUUGACUUUUGCCUUUUUCCAAGCAGGGGAAAAGCACCUUUCUGAUUAAUCUAGGUCCUGAAGGACCCUGUUGACACUGCAUUUACAUGACUGAGGAAGAGUACAUACAUGACUUCUAGCUGGAAAUUUUCUGUCAGAGCCCACAUUGAGGAGCAGCCAGAGCCUUCCUUGAGUUAGGAAAGGACAGGGGGUUUUAAGCUUCCAUGUGAUAAAGAGUAUGAUUCCAUUUUUGAUGUUUGACUUCCCACUCCAGCUUUACUGAGGUAUAAAUGAUAUGAGAAACUAUAUGUAAUUAAUAAAUACAAAUAGGUGAGUUUGAACACAUGUAUACACUUUUGUUAUCUUCACCACAGCCCAGGCAAUAAACAUUUUCAUCACUUCCCCACGUUUUCUUGUGUCCUUUUAGGGUAUGCAUGUAUGUAUGUGUGUGCAUAACAAUGUUUAACAUGAGAUAUUUAGCCUCUUAACAAAAUUUACUUUAUCG
ensembl:lncRNA